GCGGGCAUAGCUCAGUUGGUAGAGCGUCUGCUUGCCAUGCAGAAGGUCGCCCGUUCGAAUCGGGUUGCCCGCUCCA
rnacentral:tRNA from 1 species